GGGUUUGUCUAAUCUCGCAUCUGGGGCGCUAAAAGCGCGGUCCCUCCACCCCUGGUUGCAGCCACGUAUUGCCUUUUCCCGUUGCCUCCCGCCGCCGCCGUGUUCUGCGCCAACCCCGGCCACUUGGCACACCGGAGAAGCCCAACUCGCACCCGCGCGCCGCGCUACAACGGCUGGGCUGCGCUCCAGUUACCCCGUCGUCGCGGCCGCGCGUCCGGCUCCGCUGCAGCGAUUUGCGACACGCACUCCUCCUAUGGUGGGAUUCCAGCGCCAAUCUUUGGCACCGCCGGCCGUGCUCACAAGACCGAGCCCCCACCUCAUCGCUGCCCAACACAUGAGCCUCCUGCGCUUCCCUGUCCGCCGCCGCUGCGCGCGGGCCCGCCUCCGAUUGGGUCGCCACCACCGCCGCCGCGCGAGCCGGCCUUCGACGGGAUGGGUGCGCGCUCGACGCUGUAGAAUCGAAGCCGCGCCCUCAAUGACUGGGAAAAGCUGGAGAAUCGAGGCCGCCCUCAACGCCGGGGACUCGCCGGGAAGUCAAGGCGGCAGUCAUCGUCGAUCAACCCAACUGUUUUUCCUUGUGCCGCCAGUCCUGCCAGGUUCCACGGAUGUGUUGCCCGCACAUAAUAAGAGAAUAAGAGAUCCACACGCUCCUCAACCGUCAGGCUACCACCGUCCCUGACUACAUCGGCGAUGGUUCUGCGGCAGGGACAUGAAAGAAAGAUGAUAGGGGUGGAGACGGGGAGUUCUAUGUUCCUUUCUGCUGACAGCUUAGCCUGGUUUCCGGAUCAGAUAUGAAUUUUUUAGAUUUCCCUUUCAGAGAAUUCAGAGUAAGUUCUACACCAGCAGCUACUGAGGAAUUAAUGCUUUGUACCCUUAUUUGCAGGUGUAUUUUCGGUUGUUCAUCAUGCAGUAAGAUAAGGCUCAUAUUUUUAAUUAUCAGCUGUUGGCAUGAAUUGAUCUAUGCAUUUUGCACAGGCAAACAUGAUAAUUUUAACUUGCUAAUCAAGCUGGUGCACCUUGAUUCAGUUUGAGGAUAAAUUAUGAGGCAAUUGGCUGAUUAAAUGCACAUGUUCUUUUCCAUGUUCAGAUGUAGCUGCGGAAAUUUUCUGUAACAGCUACUUUUUCGCAGUUGGGUCGUGCAUCGAGACUUGUUAGCUGCAGCAAUUGACAAACUAUUUUUGGUUCGAUCCUUCUCAUGUUUUUAUGGACAUAGAUUGUACUUUGUUUAGACGGAACAAUGAUUUCGAAAUAGAGAAGUCAGGCUAUCAAUUAUAGUCAUGUAUCUAAAUCAGUAGCAUCAUUCCUAGGUUUGAACCCCUCUCAGUGUUAUAUCCAGUUUUCAUGGCUCUACCCUAAUGUGAGCAAUACAAAUAAAGAAGGCAUCACAAUUCUUUUCUUGCAUAAAGUAUUUCUUUUUUUUUGAAAUAAAUUAUUUCUUGCAUAAAGUAUCAAAGUUAUGUUACAUAUAGUUACAUGUCUUACAGAACCUACAUAUAACAUGGUAUUUUCGGCUGUCCAUAAGAUGGGUAAAGAGAAUUGAGGGCAGUUUAUGGUAAUCCAUAAACAAUGUGUCGCCCCCUGUAAAUUACAUGCUAAAUAGUUUCUGUUUUGUUCAUAGUCCCCUUAAUUAGUUUUGUUUCCCUGCAGGUUUUUUUAACUGUGCAUGGUCAUUGUUUGUAGGAAUGUCUCUGUGGCAGCUUGCAAGUGGAUGGCUCACCAGGAACAUGGUAGUUCAAUCCCAGAUUAAUCAGAAAGAAAAAAGAAUGGGAAAAGUGUGAGAGUGCAGGUGCGCUCUGCGCACCCUCACACUUUUUCACUUUUUCAUUUUUAUAUCUCUUAAAAUAUUACAUAUUUGGAUUUGAUUUUUUUGCAAGUCACUAAAAAAUAACAAAUAGAAUGGGAAAAAAAUAGUUCUGAAAUUUUUUGUGCAAUUUCAAAUAAUUUAAAAUUCAAAAAAAUUCUUGAAAUAUAUAUAUACAUAAUAAAAUAAAAAAAUCCAAAAUAUUUUUCCCACGUUCCAAUUGUUAUGUUUAAGUGAUCUGCAAAUUUUUUUUCAAACAAUGUGGGGUGUGAGAGAUACAAAAAUAAAAAAUUAUUUGAGAGGGGAACAAAAAGAAUUUGCACGAAUCUUGAUGCAGUAUACACAGUAUGGAUACGAGUGCUCACCAAGCACCUGCUCCAAAAGUCCACUCUCAGAAAGAAUGGAUGUUGCAGGUCUAGCAGUUUGCAACGCUGGAGGUACACACUGUUGGCGUUCUGCUCUGGCCGGGCGUGCGUUUGAUGUACUUGAUGUUUUGCUGUUCUCAAGUUUGCAUCAAGUUGACCUGGUUUCUGGUGGCCUGUUCCGCUCCACUCCCCCCUCCAGCUCGUAUCAGUUGUGGCCAGGGAACAAACAUCGUGGUGAUCUGGCGUGGGAUCCUGAAGAUAUCGAAGAACUGUCUGAACCGUGCAAACUACAUCAAGUAUUGAUCAGACGUGGUCAGACUCUGGUGUGGUAUCCUGAAUCUAUCGAAGAACUGUCUGAACUGUGCCAGCUACACCGUCCGCAAUCUUGGCACCUUGAGUAUUGAUAAUAUGAAGAUAAAUCAGACAGAUGUUGCACCAUUGCAGGUUCAUUUGGCUCUACCAAUGUUGCGUUCUCACUGCUCAGCAUCGUGACAACUGAAGACAUCAGUGGCCUGUUCCGAGGAUGCACUUCAACACACAGGAGAGCAACCUGUAUGCAUCUGAGCGCUACGCUGUGGUCAAUGGUGUCUCCCAUUGCUUCAUCCACCGAGGAGGUUCAGAUCAAGCUCUUCAUCGUAAAAGCCUCGAUUCUUCUUUCCAGUGAUGAUCUCCAGCGUCAGGACACCGAAGCUGUAGAUAUCAGAUUUCAUAGAGAACACGCCAUCCAUUGCAUAUUCCGGAGACAUGUAGCCGCUGAAGACCACGAUCUCACUAGUUAGCAUGAAAGCUCAUCUUCAAAAGAUCCCUAUGGAUGAUCCUCACCCUUGAAUCCUCAUGGAGAUAUAGCAGACCCCGUGCAAUCCCCAGAAUGAUCUCAAAACGGUUCUUCCAUUCUAGUAACUUGCGCUUUCCUUCAUCUGCAUAACAUUUCACCAAGGCUGUUGUUGUGCAUGAACUCGUACACUAACAUUCUCUCGUGGUCGUCGAUGCAGCAGCCUAGCAGCCUCACCAGCUACUUCUUGCCCAUCUUCAAGUUUUGCCUGUUGAUCACCAGUUUGCAGGGCCAAAUCCACCUUGUCCUAUUUUGCGGUCUGCAGAGAAGUUGUCCGUUGCAGCUAGAAUCACUUCUAGAUCAAACAACGGAAGCUCAAGAUCUUUUUCGCUGCUCAUCCUGCUCUCAUUCAUCAGGCGAUCCUGUGCUGUUCUCAGUGCUGAAUGUUUCCUGGCCCCAGGAGGCACGUCUGGCUCGGCCCUAAUACUCGGUGCCAUUUCGUCCUGACGCUUCGUGCUCGCCUUGUUCCUCCAGAAAAAGUAGUAGACAACCGCCCCCAGAAGAAGCAAACCGGAAAGAGCGGUGCUGACGCCGAUCACCAAUCUCCUGUUUGGAUGCUGACGGUUAGCUGAAAUCAAGCAGCGGUGAACCUGAGGUGUUCAAAAGCGGGUUCCGAUGUACCAGGUUCUAAAAAUGUGGAGUACUAGAAAAAAAUGGUUAUUGCAAUUUUACUCAAGGACUGACUGAUGGCUACUGUGACCCAUGCAAACUUGCUUGUACUGAUGACUUGUAUGGACCUAAUGAAAUCGCAAAUGUUGUGAAAAAAUCUCAAAUAUCAUCUUUGACAGUUUCUCCUGUUGCUAUUAAUUGAACGAGUUUUCCUCAA